UCAGACGACAGGACCCGAGUUCAUCCUGAGCCAAACAUCUCGUUUCAAUCCAAAAUCAAACAGACGUCGAAGAGAGGCCUCUUACUCUGCUGCCGUUCUCAGAAAAAGGAGAGGACGACUGGAUCCCAGUUAUGUGUGGAGGGAGGGAGAGCUGCCUCUGUGCCCUCAGACUUCAUCCUUCCUCGAUUUGCUGCCACAGCGACCGCUUUCCCGACGGAGGUCAAUAAAAAGCCGUGUUUUCAGAUGUUUCGUGAACGCAGCCCCACCAGCCACUUUGAAUUGAGCACAACUGAGAACCAGUCGCACGGGGCUUGUCCGUGUGUACACAACGACG